rnacentral:tRNA from 2 species
GCCCUCUUAGUUCAACGGAUAGAACGCGAGAUUCCGGAUCUCGUGAUAGGGGUUCGAUUCCUCUAGAGGGCG